GUGAGGAGCGGGCCGCGCCGCCCUUUGUUACCGCCGGGGACCCGCGCCCGCCCGCAGCCCCCGAAGGCCCGGGGACGUCCGCCCUCCCGCGGCGCCUCCCACCCGGCCGAGGCCGACCCCGCCUCCGGCUGGCCGGCGCGCGGCCAGAGCGAGUGAGGGGUCCAGCGGCCCGGCCAGCGGCGGAUCCACCCUAGGCCACCGCGCCCCGCCAGCCCUCCUCACCUUCCCGGGCUUCCCGCGCCCCGACCGGCCGCUCCCCCGGCCCGCGGCUCAGCGACCAGCUCCGCCGCGCGCGGCCCCUCGGCGCCUCUCCCCGCGGGCCGCCGGCCGGGCCCGGGAGGCUCACUUCGCCCUCACCUGGGGCGCGCACGGGUCCCCUCCCCUCGCCGGCCCGCGGCGGUCGGGAGCUGGCGCCCUCUGCCGGGCCACCGCGCCGGAGCACCCGGGACCCCGGGGACGGGCGGCCAGGCAGGGACGGCGCCCCCGCCGAGGUCACCUGCUGCCAGCCCGGCCUGCGGCCAGGUCCGGGCCGAGGGACCCAGCUGUGCCAACGCCCGGGCCCCGCGCCCCCCAGGAAGGCGCCAAGGAGGCCGGCAGCCCGGGCGCACCCGGCUUUCCAGCUUAACGUGUCCGUGUGGGAAGGGUGAAAAGAAGACAGGUUCCUGAGAGAUUUCCAGGGGAUCAUGGGCUGACACCGGGACAGACGCUGGGACAGAUGUGACACCCUGCUCCUGUACUUCAAGCCUCCAGAACUGAGAAAGAAUAAAUUUCUGUUUUUAUGAGUCACUCAGUUUGUGGUUCUUUGUUAUGGCAACUGCAGGAAAUUAGCACAGACCCGAACAUCAGCCUGUCCCCAGUUUGUGGACAGGGAAGAAUGAGGGAAACUCUUCCCCUCCUUCAGUCUGUGCCUGUGUCCUCUGCUUUGUUUGUCUACGGAGCCUCCAUCAUAAUCAUCACCACACAUAUGAUUUAUUUUUCUUUUUGCCUGUUUCUGUGUCUCCUUCCUUUAGAAUGCAAGCCCUGUGAGGGCAGGGAUUUUCUAUCUGCUGUAU
ensembl:lncRNA